GAUGAACGCUAGCGGCAGGCUUAAUACAUGCAAGUCGAGGGGCAACAGGGGUAGUGAUACCUGCUGGCGACCGGCAAACGGGUGCGCAACACGUACAGAACCUUCCUUUAAGCGGGGGAUAGCCCAGAGAAAUUUGGAUUAAUACCCCAUGGUAUUGUUGGGUGGCAUCACUUAACAAUUAAAGAUUUAUCACUUAGAGAUGGCUGUGCGUCUGAUUAGGUAGUUGGUUGGGGUAAUGGCCCACCAAGCCUUCGAUCAGUAACUGGUGUGAGAGCACGACCAGUCACACGGGCACUGAGACACGGGCCCGACUCCUACGGGAGGCAGCAGUAAGGAAUAUUGGUCAAUGGAGGCAACUCUGAACCAGCCAUGCCGCGUGAAGGAUGAAGGUCCUCUGGAUUGUAAACUUCUUUUAUGUGGGAAGAAAUGCAUUCUUUAUAGAGUGUUUGACGGUACCAUAGGAAUAAGCACCGGCUAACUCCGUGCCAGCAGCCGCGGUAAC
rnacentral:rRNA from 1 species